rnacentral:misc_RNA from 1 species
AAGUCGUAACAAGGUUUCCGUAGGUGAACCUGCGGAAGGAUCAUUAACACUAUAUGUGAGUAUUAUACAUACCUAGUAUAUAUAACCACUCAUCAUAUACUUAUCAACAAACUCGUGCUCCCUUUUUUUCCCACACCACAAACCCUUUUAACUGUUCAACAGUUAAUAGUAUUAUAUUUCUAAUACACACUUGUUGACUGCACUGCAGUAUAUGCGUUACCCUAGUGGUGCGUAUGUCUGUAAUGUUUGUCAUGAUGUAUGUGAAUGCAUGUGAGUAGUUGUCGUUGUACAACUAGUUGCAUGGUUAGCACACAAGUGUUAGCAAUGGAUAUCUAGGCUCUC